rnacentral:lncRNA from 1 species
GGCCACCACGUCCUCUGAACUGGCCAUUUCUUCCUCCAAAAUUAGGGUUAGAGUUAGGAAACUAAUUGUUUCCGGUGCCAUCAGUAUAAUUGUGGUUUUGAGAAUUAGGACCAUGAGAUUGGGAUUCUGAAUUUGCAGUUUCAGUGAGAUUAACUGAAACAGGUUCACUGAUAGCAGCUUUCUUGAACUUCUCAUUUCUAGAUUCUUGUGUGAGAAGCUGAGAUUCAAGUUCAUCUAAAGAAACAACCUCAGAUUUCGCAUUCACACUAGCAACAAUAGGGUCAAACUCUUCAGGAACAAGAGACUCUGAAAUUGCGCGAAUUCGAGCAAUGAAUUCAACGACAGUGCGUGAACCUUUCGUAAUGGAUCUAAGUUCAGAUCGAAGUUGACGCGGACGCGUCUUCAUCUGCGUGAAGCAGUAACUAUGGAUCUCAUCCCAAACCUGCCAUGAGUGGCGAAGGAGAACGAAUCGCGAAAGUAGCGAAGGCGAAAUCGUUGAAAGAAUCCAGGUGCAGAGCAAUGAAUCUUGUUCUUCCCAUUUAG